rnacentral:tRNA from 1 species
GCCAACCGUGGCCUACUGGUUAGCGCUUCGGACUUGUAACCGGAGGGUUGCCGGUUCGAACCCCGACCAGUAGGCA